CUUUUUUUUUUUGUUGAAAAUAUUGAAUAUUAGGAUUAUGGAGCACGGCUACAGGGGAGGGCAAAGGUGUCAUCACAUUCUCUGUGCUCUCUGUGGGCGUAGAAGGAGCAGGCAGUGCUUCUUGAACAAUUUUAGCUUUCAAGCCUACACACUGGUGAGCAGUUCAUCUUCAGUAGCACACUGAGGCUUGUGAGCUUUUAAGGAUCCGGGAGAUAUUACAUACAGUAUGACACAUCUUUAUAUCUGGCUGUUAACAUGGAAUUCAAUGAUUAUUGUGUACCCAUCUACUCAGGCAUUUCUGCUCUGGAAUGUGGGGACUUGAUAUUUUAACAUUUUCAUCACUCUGACACCAAGACAAAGUGUCGGUCAGUCGACCAAUCAGUGUGUCCGUAUGAGGAACCUUUAGCUCUCGCAGCUGAGGACCCGUCUGUUUCCCCGUGUCGAUGUGCGGCAGGAUGAUUGACAGCCCCUUCCCUCCAGGAGCCUUCUGCGGGGGCUGCUUCCCCUGCUGGAAUCCCUCCACCUGUGCCUGAAGAGCAGAGGAGGAGACAGCACACUGACAUGGACGGCAGCAGUACCCCACGUGCCCCACAGAGGUUGACAGGUAACAGAGACACCUCCUACUCCCCCACCUGGGCAUUGACGAGCUGGCUGUGGACAUCCUGAUGAGCCUUCCUCAGCAGCCUGCUCUCCUCCUUCAGCUUCAUCACCAUGUCUGAGGUGCAGAGAAUACGGAAUGAGGAAUCACACCAACCACCUGACUCACAGGCACCCGAUGAGUCUAUAACUACAGAACCACAAUGUAUACAUGGACUCUGGAAAUCACAAUACACAUUGGAGAAGAGAUCUUCAGACGUCUUAAGGGCUUGUCUCAGUAAUUUGAGAUAUGUCUAUGGACAUGUAUACGAUGUCUAUAGACUUUUAUAGAGAAGAUCAUUAAUAUUAAUGUCUUAAGACAUCUUCACAGACACACAGGAAUAUCUCAAGAUAUCUUUGUUUUGAACAUAAAAGCAUCUUAAAGGCGUCUCGAGGCACGGUGAUGCCUGUGUGUAGCUGUGAAGCGGUGUCUGUAAUUAACGGGUGUCUGUAAUUAAAGGCGUGUCCGUGCUGCGGCGCUACGCGGUGC